ACCCUUAUUCUUUGUUGCCAGCGAUUUGGUCGGGAACUCAAAGGAGACUGCCGUUGAUAAAGCGGAGGAAGGUGGGGACGACGUCAAGUCAUCAUGGCCCUUACGACCAGGGCUACACACGUGCUACAAUGGCGUAUACAAAGGGAAGCGAAGGUGCGAGCUGGAGCGGAUCUCAUAAAGUACGUCUAAGUUCGGAUUGGAGUCUGCAACUCGACUCCAUGAAGUCGGAAUCGCUAGUAAUCGUGGAUCAGAAUGCUACGGUGAAUACGUUCCCGGGCCUUGUACACGCCGCCCGUCACACCAUGGGAGUGGGUUGCACCAGAAGUAGAUAGCUUAACCGCGAGGGGGGCGUUUACCACGGUGUGAUUCAUGACUGGGGUGAAGUCGUAACAAGGUAACCA
rnacentral:rRNA from 1 species